GCCUGAGUAGCUCAGUGGUUGAGCAUCUGCCUUUGGCGCAGCACAUGAUCCCGAAGUCCUGGGAUUGAGUCCCACAUUGGGCU
rnacentral:tRNA from 1 species